UACCAGCUCUCCGAGUGGUGUGGAUGUUUAUUGGGCCUAAAGCAUCCGUAGCUGGCUGGACAAGUCCCCUGUUAAAUCCACCGAUUUAAUCGUUGGAGUGCGGGGGAUACUGUUCGGCUAGGGGACGGGAGAGGCAGACGGUAUUUUCGGGGUAGGGGUGAAAUCCUAUAAUCCCGGGAAGACCACCAGUGGCGAAGGCUGUCUGCUAGAACGCGCCCGACGGUGAGGGAUGAAAGCUGGGGGAGCGAACCGGAUUAGAUACCCGGGUAGUCCCAGCUGUAAACGAUGCAGGCUAGGUGUUUGGGCGGCCACGUGCCGCUCUAGUGCCGCAGGGAAGCCGUUAAGCCUGCCGCCUGGGGAGUACGGCCGCAAGGCUGAAACUUAAAGGAAUUGGCGGGGAGCACCACAAGGGGUGAAGCUUGCGGUUU
rnacentral:rRNA from 1 species